AAUGAAUUGCCUGGUAAAAGGGGUAUCUUGAUAGGAUAAGUCAUAUGAUUAGUAUCAUAUUCAUUA
rnacentral:tRNA from 1 species